CCUACGUGAGGCAGCAGUGAGGAAUAUUGGUCAAUGGACGAGAGUCUGAACCAGCCAAGCAGCGUGAAGGAUGACUGUCCUAUGGGUUGUAAACUUCUUUUAUAUGGGAAUAAAAUGUUCCACGUGUGGGAUUUUGUAUGUACCAUAUGAAUAAGGAUCGGCUAACUCCGUGCCAGCAGCCGCGGUAAUACGGAGGAUCCGAGCGUUAUCCGGAUUUAUUGGGUUUAAAGGGAGCGUAGGUGGAUUGUUAAGUCAGUUGUGAAAGUUUGCGGCUCAACCGUAAAAUUGCAGUUGAAACUGGCAGUCUUGAGUACAGUAGAGGUGGGCGGAAUUCGUGGUGUAGCGGUGAAAUGCUUAGAUAUCACGAAGAACUCCGAUUGCGAAGGCAGCUCACUGGACUGCAACUGACACUGAGGCUCGAAAGUGUGGGUAUCAAACAGGAUUAGAUACCCCUGUAGUC
rnacentral:rRNA from 1 species